CGAAUCGUAAACCCUAAUUUAUACACGCACCCUUCUCCGCCUAUAUAUUCGAAUCAAACGUUUUGCAAAGCCUCAUUGCCUCUUUUCGAUCUCCUUCUUUGCUCUUCAUCUCUAUAGCAAAAUCAAUUCUUUAGUGUUUUAUAGGUUAGAUUUCAUCUUCAUCACAUGGUUUUUAUGUAGUUCGUUUGAAUUGCAUUCAAUUUUGUCCUCUUUCUUUUACAACAAAUUUUAUUCAAAGUUCGAUUUUUGUGUGUGUGCGGUGAUGAUACAAUUGUGGACUAGAGUUUCUGAUCUGAGAAAACUCAGAAUUUGAUUACAAACCCUUGGCUGUCUGAGCACAACGUAUAAAAUCUUACAAUUUUAGGGGUUCUCUCUUGUGUAGAAAUCUAUCUUCUCUCGAUCUAUUAUAUGUUUCUCGAUCUCAAAAAAAAAUCAUAUUUUCUUUGCUUCUAUCUUUUUUCUUAUUUCUUAAUUUUUUAGUUUUUUGUUCUGAAAAGAAGUAGUGGGCUUAUGAUGAUAAUAUACUUUAUCUUAGCGGAUUUCAGUGAGAUUUCGAUCAAUGAUCUGAUUGUUACACACACUGAAGCCUAUGUUUAAUCUCUCAUUUCAAUUUGUUAGCGGAUUUUGUGCUAUUGAAUGUUAUUGGUGCAAUGAUGUGACAAAAACACAUUGUGUUAUUGGGCAGUGGACGUUGCCACAAGGUAGCGCCGUGAGCCUAUUAUUUAACGACUUCUCCUUCCACUGAGCACUAUAACUUAUUAGUAAUAUUUGUGACGAAUUAUAUGCAGAAAAUUGCGUCCAUUACCAAUUCCGGGGGAUAUAAUGUUCCUCCUGGAUAAUGGCUCGGACGCUAUAUUUAUGUUGUGGUCAUCCUGACUUAUGGUUUCUUAAUAUCAUUUGAUCUUGGAAACGCCACCAAUAUUUUUUACUCUAAAUAUAAUUUCAGAGCUUUGUUUUGGAGGCCAUGUUUUUAUUACGUUGGUAUCUGUGCAUUUAUUCAAAUGGAAACUAGAUGAUAUUCCUUGGAAGGAAAAGAUAUGUUUAGGUUCAGGACUUAAAAGGCAGGAAAUGCUUAUGAAGAUUUGCGGAUUAUGUAGAGAAGAUCGAUGUCGAUUUGGAUUUUCAGCAGGAGAGACUCUUGGGAAAUAAUUUUAUGCAUCCUGAUUUAGAUUAAGUUAUUCCUGACAGCAUAACGUAAUGAAAAUUGCAAUAUUUGAUUUUUUGAAUUACAUUCGUUUUAUUUUUUGUAUGAUUGAAACUUUUCAAUUUACUAACUUGUCCAGGACAAGAACUAAUAUAAAUGAUUUGUCCAGAUAAGGAAUGAUU